GGGGCUGUGGCUCAGUGGUGGAGCAUCUGUUUUGCAUGCAGAAGGUUCCAAGUUCAAUCCCCGGCAUCUCCA
rnacentral:tRNA from 1 species